GGGGCGAGCGUUGUCCGGAUUUACUGGGCGUAAAGCGCACGCAGGCGGUCUGCUAGGUUUGGAGUGACAGUUGGUGGCUUAACUGCCAAAGUGCUUCGAAAACUGACAGACUUGAGGGCUUCAGAGGGACACGGAAUUCCGGGUGGAGUGGUGAAAUGCGUAGAGAUCCGGAGGAACACCAGUGGCGAAGGCGGCUUCCUGGUCUGCGACUGACGCUGUGGCGCGAAAGCUAGGGGAGCAAACGGG
rnacentral:rRNA from 1 species